AUAUAUUUUGUUGUUUAUUUCAUUUUGCCGUUGGAAAACGAAUUUAUCUUGAAAUUUUUUUACUUAAUAGAUUUGAUUUGCUUUUACGAUUGAGUAAUUCCAUUGUUUGUUGAAUCUCUACUUGUACGUUCGUAUUGCCAACCAUCGAUGUUGACGGAACACUUUAUGGUAUUGUACAAGUAAGAUAUGACACUUGUGGGGCUGAAUUUUUUAUCCUUUAAUGUUUUUAAUGUGAACUGUGACAAAGAAAUCCCACGAGUUUUAUAUCUAAGAACACUUGUUUGCGUAAAUGUUUCAUUGAUUUUCUUGUUUAUUAAAUAAUCUGUAACUUAAUGAUCAUUUAUUGUGUUUGAGUAGUUGCUGAUACUUUGUUGUAGAAAAAAUAUUGUGCAGGGAUUGUAUUGCUAGCUUCGGCAACAACUUUAUGGUUCCUCUUUGAACGAGCUGGUUAUAAUCUCUUGUCUUUUGUUUCUAAUGUGUUGCUUCUUCUGGUCUCAAUCCUCUUCCUCUGGUGCAAAUCUGCUUCCCUUCUCAACAGGGGUUCUUCUUAGUUUGUCUAUGCCUGUGCUGUAUGACAAGUACCAAGACCACAUUGAUGAAAAGUUGUGCCAAACACAGAGAGUUAUCCAAACAAUAGAGGAAAAUUGAUGAUAACCUCCUAAAAAAGAUUCCAUUGCCCCAAAA